ensembl:lncRNA
CCAUCUCUGGCUGAGGACAGACAAUUCCUCCUCCCUGAGGUCACUCUGAAGCUGCAUGCUGCCCAAGCACAGCAAAGAUUUUAUUGUUGUUUUUUGUUUUCCCCUCCUUCUCACUGCCUACAGAGCCAAAGGGCCUGUUUGUUUUCCUCUUAGUUAUCAGAAAGGUUUAUUUGCGAUUGCUUGAGAGAGGAAAAAAACCCUCUGUAGCCACAGGCAGACAAGCUCAGUGCUCAGGAACAUAAUGGCUGGAGCCUGCAGGCCCAUAUGCUCGCCAUCCUGUGAGGUGGAAGGCCAGCUCCGAUCAUCUCCAGCUGCUCAGGAUACAAUUGAUCAGCACCUCACCCUACCCUCAGUGUCUUUGUGAAGGACAAUUUUGGAAGAUCACCAGGUUGCACCUUCAAAGACUGGGCCUUUAGUGAUGCUAGGUUUUCUGCAGGCAGUGAUUUUGUAUUUCACAGGAUCUCCUACACACUGCAACCUUUUACAGCCCACUAUCGCUCAAUCCAGAAGCACAGACUGCUAAUAGCAUGAGAUGAAUAAAUGACUAGGAUGUUCAGCACCACCUGAGACACCCGGGCACAAGCAGCAGGUUUCUCACCUGCAGGUCACCAGCUCACUUCAGAAACCUGUCAUCAUCGUGCUGUCAUUUUUGAUUAAGCCAGGUGAAUUAGCAUUGUAUCCUUGGAUUUUUUUUUUUUUUAAAAGAAAUAUUAAAGAGUAAAAUGAUCACUGAGACACCAUGACCAGACUAUGCGAUAUUAAAAUGAGUCAUCUGGAGUUUCUCUACUUCUAUACCAGCCUCUUCAAAGACACUUAAGGGAAUCAAUUGCCCGUAUCCCACUAAAAUCCUCUCUGUAUGUGGUUCAUGAAGCUCUGAGCCCCUUUCCCAACCCCACAGCCUCCACCCCUCACCUCUGUAGUCUCUCUAGUCCAUUAUUCUUGAGGCUGAUUUGUGAACAAUAUGUUCACUUUCUGUACGGCCUAAUGAAGAUGUUCCUGCCCCUGCAUAUUCUAUCUGCUGCACGCUUAAUGGAAAAAAAUAGCUAUUAUUAUCAUUGGUGGUUCAGAUGAGUUUCUUGGCAGUGAGGGUGGUACAGUUAUGUGGACAAUCAAACAAGCCAGUGAUUACUGCCAAUGCAUUUUUGAGGAAAUCAUUGCUGUUUAAACUCCAAUCACAACAAUACCUCAUUUAAAAGCAUAAAAGCUUUCACUCAGCAGACCUACCUUUUUUUUUUUUUUUUAAUAGCGAGACAAUUAAAUAAAUCUCCUGGCACUUAACCAUCAUUUACCCAACAGUCAGAAAAUGGAUUCAAUGCCUUCACAUUAGUUAGAUUAUGAUAUUAAAGCAGAAACUGAAUAAGUACGAGCAGGUGAAGGAAGAUCUUUGAGGACUGCAUGCAGCACAACUGGCACAGCAUAAUUUCUUUUGCAGGGGACAGGAGGGCAAAUUUUUUUAAACUUAUUCAGAUAUAAACUACAAUCUUAGCACAUAAUAUAUAGUGUUUCAUAGACUUCAGCUUUCUUGGGAGAAUGAAGAAGCUGCUCCUUUUAUAAACCAAAAACUCAAGUACAGUGCUGAUGUACUGAAAUUCUCAUCCUGAAAUUCUGCAUCUGAACCAGGAAUUGAAUCAGGAUGAGGUGAAACUGUACAACGCCAUAACCUUUCUACACUUAAAACUGAUGCCAGCUUUGUUUUGUUAGCAUUUCCAUUAGAACUGAUACAUGGAAACUUAAAUGCAAAUGUGGAUUAAAACUCAGGAGGGUCAAAAAGUUUGAGAUCUAUUGCGUGUUUGCUGGCAUCUUACGAAAGAUUGUAUUAUCUUAAAAGACAGCCCCCAAACUAACACAGAAGCAACUGACCCUGAACUGGUAUGAAUACCAGCCAUUGACAGAUUAUGGGGCUUUUAUUACCUUUAUCCCUGGCUCUAGCACUUCUCCCUCAUUAGGCUCCUCAUGUGAAGAGUAUGUCCUUCUGGUACCAUUCUUCAGAACCUGAUACUAAAUAACUCCUAAAUUUAUGACCUUCAACUGUCAGCUACCAGUGUGUCUGUAACGGGAGCCCUUCUCUCUCUGAGCUAAAAAUAGUGAUAGAACAAAAUCCCUGUUUUCUGAGAAGUUUUCAAAUUUGAGACGGAUUACUAAAUAUUCACAAAC